UACGUAGGGUGCGAGCGUUGUCCGGAAUUACUGGGCGUAAAGAGCUCGUAGGUGGUUUGUCGCGGUUGUUCGUGAAAACUCACAGCUUAACCUGUGGGCGUGCGGGCGAUACGGGCAGACUGGAGUACUGCAGGGGGAGACUGGAAUUCCUGGGUGUAGCGGUGGAAGUGCGCAGAUAUCAGGGAGGAACACCGGUGGGCGGAAGGCGGGGUCUCUGGGCCGAUACUGACGCUGGAGGAGCGAAAGCGUGGGGAGCGAACAGG
rnacentral:rRNA from 1 species